UACGUAGGCAGCAAGCGUUGUUCGGAAUUACUGGGCGUAAAGAGUGUGUAGGCGGUGCUCUAAGUUCGGUGUGAAAUCUCCCGCUUAACUGGGAGGGUGCGCCGGAAACUGGAGUGCUCGAGCGUGGGAGAGGAAAGCGGAAUUCCUGGUGUAGCGGUGAAAUGCGUAGAUAUCUGGAGGAACACCGGUGGCGAAGGCGGCAUCCUGGACCGAUAUUGACGCUGAUGCGCGAAAGCCAGGGGAGCAAACGGG
rnacentral:rRNA from 1 species